UGUCAACAGGAUGUAGAGCCAGCUGCAGAAAAUGAUGACAGAACACUGCAGAACCAAGGUCCUCUACUCUCUACUCAGAUAUCCCAGUAUCCCUGCUGACUCCAAAUACUAACAAUUUAUUGCUGGACUCCCGUUGUGGCCUUUUUAUGUGACACAGUCAGAGAAACACAUUGUAGAGCUUCAGUCGAUACCAGAGGAUGAGUCGUCAGAUGCAGAGUGAGUCGUGAUGCCUGUGGCUGCCUAUGCAACAGCCUGCCAGAAUUACAGAGAGGAUGUUGUGGUGUUUCUAUCUGUUUGUCUAAUUUUCUUUAAUUUGCGGUUCAUGUCAAAUGCAUAUUUAAUGCUAAUGGUCUUCUUCAAGAUGUAAAAUUAGUUUUUUUCUAUUUCAUUUAAGAGCUCU